rnacentral:rRNA from 1 species
AUUGAACGCUGGCGGCAGGCCUAACACAUGCAAGUCGAACGAGUGGCGGACGGGUGAGUAAUGUCUGGGAAACUGCCUGAUGGAGGGGGAUAACUACUGGAAACGGUAGCUAAUACCGCAUACCAUCGGAUGUGCCCAGUUUGGAUUAGCUUGUGGGUGGGGUAAAGGCGCACCAAGGCGACGAUCCCUAGCUGGUCUGAGAGGAUGACCAGUCACACUGGAACGGAGACACGGUCCAGACUCCUACGGGAGGCAGCAGUGGGGAAUAUUGCACAAUGGGCGCAAGCCUGAUGCAGCCAGGCCGCGUGUAUGAAGAAGGCCUUCGGGUUGUAAAGUACUUUCAGCGGGGAGGCGGUACCCGCAGAAGAAGCACCGGCUAACUCCGUGCCAGCAGCCGCGGUAAUUC